CAGCAGCCGCGGGAAUACGUAGGUGGCAAGCGUUGUCCGGAAUUAUUGGGCGUAAAGGGCUCGCAGGCGGUUUCUUAAGUCUGGUGUGAAAGCCCCCGGCUCAACCGGGGAGGGUCAUUGGAAACUGGGAAACUUGAGUGCAGAAGAGGAGAGUGGAAUUCCACGUGUAGCGGUGAAAUGCGUAGAGAUGUGGAGGAACACCAGUGGCGAAGGCGACUCUCUGGUCAGUAACUGACGCUGAGGAGCGAAAGCGUGGGGAGCGAACAGGAUUAGAUACCCCAGUAGUCCCUGUCUCUUAUAC
rnacentral:rRNA from 1 species